GCUAAGCACUUACAACUGUUUGCAGAGGAAACUGAGACUUUUAAACUAUGUCUCAGUCUCAUCUGCAAAGAAGUAAGUGCUUUGC
rnacentral:pre_miRNA from 1 species